rnacentral:sRNA from 1 species
AGCUUUAUCAUACAAUGCGGUAAAAUGGAGUGUUUAAUGUAAACAACGUGACCAGUUGAAAACAACUCUGAGAAUUAUGAACACAUAGCCCAGGCAGUAUUUUAAUGGUGGAAAUGCGGCUUCUCAUUCACUGGAGAGAAUGUGGUGAAGUCUCCACAGAAUACUGAACUAGUGAUAAACUUGUGGUGAAGUCCCCACAGUGUGCUGAACUUGUUAGGAACUUACGAAGGAUCCGCUAGCUAUAACUGAUACCUGUGAUAAAUGUGGAGAUCAAAAAGUUUAAACCUACAGUGUAUUUAUAUAAAACUACAAUG